rnacentral:rRNA from 1 species
GAUGAACGCUGGCGGCGUGCUUAACACAUGCAAGUCGAACGAUGAAGCCCAGCUUGCUGGGUGGAUUAGUGGCGAACGGGUGAGUAACACGUGAGCAACCUGCCCCUGACUCUGGGAUACGCGCUGAAAACGGCGUCUAAUACUGGAUAUUUCCCGUCACCGCCUGGUUUGCGGGUGGAAAGAUUUUUCGGUUGGGGAUGGGCUCGCGGCCUAUCAGCUUGUUGGUGAGGUAAUGGCUCACCAAGGCGUCGACGGGUAGCCGGCCUGAGAGGGUGACCGGCCACACUGGGACUGAGACACGGCCCAGACUCCUACGGGAGGCAGCAGUGGGGAAUAUUGCACAAUGGGCGGAAGCCUGAUGCAGCAACGCCGCGUGAGGGAUGACGGCCUUCGGGUUGUAAACCUCUUUUAGCAGGGAAGAAGCGAAAGUGACGGUACCUGCAGAAAAAGCACCGGCUAACUACGUG